UGGUUCUGGCAUNGAUGAAGAACGCAGCGAAAUGCGAUAAGUAAUGUGAAUUGCAGAAUUUAGUGAAUCAUCGAAUCUUUGAACGCACAUUGCACCUUUUGGUUAAUCCUUGAGGUAUAUUUGUUCGAGCGCCGUUUAAAUAUUAAAGACAUCGUCUUUGUGUUGAAAUUUACUACGUAAUUGUAGUUUUUCUAAAUAUUUUGGCGUGUUUUAAUAGCAUCAAAAAACGCAGUGAAAAUGUGUUUAACGAGUUAUUAUAAUUCAUUGCCUUGUUUUAUUAUAUACAAAAAACAUGGCCUCGAAUCAAAUAGGGAUACCCGCUGA
rnacentral:misc_RNA from 1 species